UACGUAGGCAGCGAGCGUUGUUCGGAGUUACUGGGCGUAAAGAGUGCGUAGGCGGUGCUCUAAGUUUGGUGUGAAAUCUCCCGGCUCAACUGGGAGGGUGCGCCGAAAACUGGAGUGCUCGAGUAUGGGAGAGGUAAGCGGAAUUCCUGGUGUAGCGGUGAAAUGCGUAGAUAUCAGGAGGAACACCGGUGGCGAAAGCGCUCAUCUGGCCCGAUACUGACGCUGAAGCACGAAAGCUAGGGGAGCAAACGGG
rnacentral:rRNA from 1 species